rnacentral:rRNA from 1 species
GCAGCUGACGCAUUAAGCACUCCGCAUGGGGAGUACGGUCGCAAGACUGAAACUCAAAGGAAUUGACGGGGGCCCGCACAAGCGGUGGAGCAUGUGGUUUAAUUUGAAGCAACGCGAAGAACCUUACCAGGUCUUGACAUCCUCUGACAAUCCUAGAGAUAGGACGUCCCCUUCGGGGGCAGAGUGACAGGUGGUGCAUGGUUGUCGUCAGCUCGUGUCGUGAGAUGUUGGGUUAAGUCCCGCAACGAGCGCAACCCUUGAUCUUAGUUGCCAGCAUUCAGUUGGGCACUCUAAGGUGACUGCCGGUGACAAACCGGAGGAAGGUGGGGAUGACGUCAAAUCAUCAUGCCCCUUAUGACCUGGGCUACACACGUGCUACAAUGGACAGAACAAAGGGCAGCGAAACCGCGAGGUUAAGCCAAUCCCACAAAUCUGUUCUCAGUUCGGAUCGCAGUCUGCAACUCGACUGCGUGAAGCUGGAAUCGCUAGUAAUCGCGGAUCAGCAUGCCGCGGUGAAUACGUUCCCGGGCCUUGUACACACCGCCCGUCACACCACGAGAGUUGUAACACCCGAAGUCGGUGAGGA